GGUGUUGCCCGCCUCAAGACCC
rnacentral:tRNA from 1 species